rnacentral:rRNA from 1 species
CCAAUAGCGUAUAUUAAAGUUGUUGCAGUUAAAAAGCUCGUAGUUGAAUUUCGGGAUCAAUAUGUUGGUCGUGCCAUUGGUACGUACUGGCAUUAUUGGUUUCUACCUUCUGAAGAACCUCGAUGUCAUUAAUUUGGUGUCUUGGGGAAUCAGGACUGUUACUUUGAAAAAAUUAGAGUGUUUAAAGCAGGCUCGCGCUUGAAUACAUUAGCAUGGAAUAAUGAAAUAGGACGUUUGAUUCUAUUUUGUUGGUUUCUAGGAUCGAUGUAAUGAUUAAUAGGGAUAGUUGAGGGCAUUAGUAUUCAAUUGUCAGAGGUGAAAUUCUUGGAUUUAUUGAAGACUAACUACUGCGAAAGCAUUUGCCAAGGAUGUUUUCAUUAAUCAAGAACGAAAGUUAGGGGAUCGAAGACGAUCAGAUACCGUCGUAGUCUUAACCAUAAACUAUGCCGACUAGGGAUCGGAUGAUGUUAAUUUUUUAAUGACUCAUUCGGCACCUUACG